CUAUGAGAAUGCCAAGUGGAUUUCAUCAGAGAGCCCCAAGGACUGCCAGCCCCCAGUCCUGGCUGGUCCCUUACCUCCUUGCCUGCCCAGUGGACCUUAACAACCAAGAUGCUCGCCCGCUGCACCAGGUGGGGCGGAGCCUGCUAAGCAGUGGCCGAGUCCACUGGUAGAUGUCAUUCCCUGCCCUGUCUGUGUGGUGUGGCACGCAUCCCUGCUGGAGGUUUGGCACCCUUGAUGGGGGCCAUCUGGCUCCAUUUCUUUCAGCGCCUCGGCUUUUCUUGUCCUAUGCAGUCUGGAGGACCAAGGACAAUCAAGUACACCCUCAAUCUACAUUACAAGGAGAUAACUCGAGUUAGUUGCAAAAAUAGUUGACCUCACUUCAAAUAAAAAGGUAAGACUGCUUUCAGAGCUUUUUUUUUUUCAAAGUGGGGAUAAGAGUUGAUUAUUUGAAAACCGCACUGAUUUAAUAGCUAGGAACAAUAGACAUCAAAAUUAUUCUAAUUAAUUGUUGCUAGGCAAAAGAUUUUACUAUAUAUACUACAUAUGUUUAUAAUAUAUAUGGUCACUUUGUUACUUUUGCAAAGGAUAAGUCUUUCGUAUAUAAACAUGAAGUUUGCAUAGUCUCAAUUAAACUUUGAAACUAAUUAUUUUUAAAAUUAGAACAGAACAAGCAGGUGAGUGUGGUUUUCAAACAGCACAACCAAAAGCGACCUGGGGAGGAGAGGAUUUAUUGUGCUAACACUUCCACACCGUAGCUCAUUGCUGAAGGAUGUCAGGAUGGGAGCUCAAACAGGGCAGGGAUCUGGAGGUGGGGAAGGAUGCAGAGGCCAUGGGAGAAGGCUGCUCGCUGGCUUGCUCAGCCUGCUGCCUUUUACAGCACACAGGACCAUCAGCCCAGGACUGGCACCAGCCACAGUGAGCUGGACCCUACACAUCAAUUAUCAGUCCAAAAAAGCAAAACACUGGCCAGUGUGGGGAGGACAUUUUCUAAUGGAGGUUUCCUCUCCCACAGUGACUAUAGCUUGUGUCAAGGUGACAAAACCAGUCGAAUACCCAGCCGUCAUUAGGGAGGUGCAGGCAGAGAGGUCAGGAGUUCAGGGGCAGCCUGUAUCCCAUGAGACACUUAACAUUUUUAUUUAAAAGGCACAGGGGUGUUUGGGAAAUGGUACAGUCAGUAAAGUGUUUGCCGUACAAGUUUGAGGAUCUGAGAUUAAUUAAUUCCCAGCACCUCUGAGGAGGCAGAGACAGGACCUGGGGCUCCUCCUUGUCCAGCCAGUUUAACUAAGAAAUCUGGGAGUCCCAGGUUCAGUGGGAGAGUCUCUCAGAGAGAAAGGUAGGGAGCUGGGGAAGGUACAAGCCUCUGCCAUGUAGACGUGCACGUGAGCACUCGUUUGAACAAAAGUCUUUAAAAAGGAAGAGUAGAAAGGUUACAUCUUCAAACCCUGCGUUUUAAUUUUAGUGCGCACUUUCCUCCAACUCUUUAUAAGAAAGAACAUACGAGAUACAAAACUAUUCGUCCAUUUAAACAAUAUUUGCUAAGAAUAAUCUGGGAUGUGGCAACUAUGCUCACAUAUUACGCUUUAUAAACCUAGAUUUCCAAACAGUUUAAAGUAUUUUUCCAAAGCAAAUGGCCAGGGCUGUUAGGUGCGGUGGUGCACACAGAAAGAGAGACAGGAGAAUUAGGGGUUCAAGACUAGCCUGAAAUCCUAUCUUAAAAAGCCAGGAAAAAAUUGCAUAUGAAAGUAACUAUCUCAACAUUUUAACAGGUUCUUUAUGAUUGGUUUGUUAAUUGUUUUCUUCUUUAUAACUUAAGAAUUUGAAUUUCUUUCUAUAAAACAUUGUAAGUAAUAUGGUUUAUUAUUUAUUUAGUAUGUCUGGAGUUCAACUGAGGGUCUCACAUAUACUAGGCAAGUGUCUACCUAGUUAUACACCCAGCCUACACACACACACACACACACACACACACACACACACACACCCAUGUACAUUUAUGUCUACGCCCACACCCCCCACAAAUCUUUUUUGUUUAAGACAAAGUCUCACCGUGUAUUUAAUUUUUACCUGAACUCUAGAGUCUCCUGCCUCAGCCUUCCAGUUGCUGAAAUUAAAGAUGUACCACUAUUCAUUCAUCCAUAUUUAUUUUUUUAAGAGAAUUAGGUAUAAAAAACACCACAGCACUAAAGGAAUAGAUUUCUCCUUUCAUUGUAUGAAAAGGAUUUAAAAAAAAAGUAGUCUGAGGGAUAGAACAAGCUUAUCUCUCUGAAUCACUGGAUCUUGGAAGCUGACAAAUUAAACAUCAAGUGACGGCAGAGGGAUGCGACAGGAGGACUCUCAGGGAUGCGACAGGGGGACUCUGAAUAAAUCAGCAGGUAUCACAACACGUCAAAAUGGGUCCAAACCCCAAACACACUUGCAUGAUGUCCAAAUUUUAUUAAAUUGACAGUAAGGACAGAGGGUGGGUGUAGCUCUCAUGUAUCUGUGGUCAUUAUGAUGUAGAAUUUUCCUAGGAAUUAUGAUUCACAAUUACUGAUCUUGAAUUGAGAAAAUAGAAAAAAAGUCCCACCAAAGUUGAAAUAAUAAUGAAAGUGAAUGUAUAUUACAAUGUAGUAGUGGCUAAGGUCACGUAGAAAUCAGUUUUUACUUCACAGUGGAAAGCUGCCCCAAUCAUUUAGGAGCACUAAGUCAAAGGAAAGUUUAAGUCUGGACAAUGCUAUCUUUCUCAUUCCCACCAAACCAAAGCAGAACCGGAGGCUACAUAGUUAUACUGAGUCAUUAAUAAUUACAAAUAAGUUUUUAAAAGCACAACUGCACAGGCAAACACCAUUGUCAUGUCCCACUCCGAGGGUCACAUGAUCCUCGAGCACUCUUUCCUGACUGUAUCUUCCCUGGCAAACAACAUCUCCUUUCAUGAUGCCAACAUAUCAUCCAAACAGCCUCCCUGAGCGUCUGUGCUCUAGAGCAUGGAGCCUUUCCAGGGCCAAACAAGGAGUAUUCCAGGAAAGGGCAGGUAGAGAGUUCAGGAAAAUGCCUAAUAAGAUUCCACUGCCUUUUCCCAACAUAGUUUCCCAAGCCCCAAAUACCACAGCAGAACAGAAAAACAAACGUGUCUUCAACCACACUCCCCAGACGAGGACUUCCACUGACUCUCCUGUAAGAAUUCUCUCACAGCAUCAUUUCGUUAGCACAGGAAAAACAAAAGCCAACAGCAGAAACAUCGACCCCGUAGGCCCCAGCUGACCUAGCAUAUGAUAAAGUGCCCACAGAAACAGCCAGUCUCACUGAACACCUCUACCUGCAUUACGCAGACAGGAGUUUGUGCAGUGAUGUCACAAAGGACAAAGAGAGGCAGGACACGCAUGGCCGCCAUCAGCCUAAGCAGAGAAGAGCAGCUCAGUGUGGGAAAGUGAGACAGUGAGUGGGACUCAGAUCUACUUACACAAAUACGAUGAAGAAAACAAACACACCUUUCAUGUGGGCGCCUGGAGAGGCAGCUCCCCGGCCCCUGACUUUCAGCAUCCUGCUCAUGACCAGUCCAGGAAAGUAAUAUAUGAUUCAGUAAUGCUGCCUGGCCCUCACCCAAGUCAAUGACUUCAACUGCUCCACAUUAAUAACAAAAGCCAGCCAGAGUGGACGCAGGGAGCGGGGAAGAGACGAAAGGCCAGGGCAACUCCUAAGAGGACAGCUACCUCUUGUUAAAGAGACAGCCAAGGCCGGUGUUUGGAAGCAAGAGUUUCCUCCAAUGAGCUAUUAGCUGCUAAAAAGCCUGCUGUCAGCCCAUGAGAUUUUAAAGCCUGGUCCACACCGAGCUCUAACAACACAAAGAUCUUCACUGCCCAACCCUGUAGGCGUGUUCUCUGUACGCUACACAACUGAGAGGCUGCUAGACUGCCAACGGCCUAAUAGAGAAGCUGUCAUUAGCCUGUUUGCAGGUCAGGAAGUAAGUACUAAGGGGAAGGCGCUCUUCAAGAGCAGAGUUAGCUGAUGGGAAUGUAGGUGGUCUGACUCCAGAGGCCGAGUGAAGAGCCAUCCUCCGGCUCUCUCAGAGCAAGUGCCUGCGGACUGCAGCUCAGCCCUUAUGGGGCUAGAGACAUGGCAGGUGAGCCGUCCACACAGAAAGUAGGCAAGAACCUGACUUUUGCUGAGUGCCCACUUUGUGUCAGAUCCUGUCCUAUUCUCCUUUCUAUUGCAGUCAUAAGGACCAUGACCCAAAGCAAUUUUGGGAAGGAAAGCAUUUGAUUGGCUUAUAUAUCUAAUGGCAGUCCAUCCUAAGGAGGAGUCAAGGUUCCUUCAUAGAGGAACUCUACUUACUGGUCUACUCGGCUUGCAUAUUUAUACAACCCACGACCACCUGCCCAGGGUGGACCCACUCACAAUGGGCUGGCCUCUUCCACAUCAAUUAUUAAUCAAGAAAAAUACCCCCUAGACUUGCCUAUGGGUGAGUCCAAUGGAGGCAUUUUCUCAGUUGAGGUUCCCUCUUCCCAAACAAACCUAGCGUGUGUCAAGUUGACAAAAACAAAAUCCCUAGCACAGCCUUUAGGGCUGGGGCAGGAUGGAGGAGACAUGGCUCAGCUGUUAGGAGUACUUCCUGCUCUCCCAAUGGACACAAGUUCACUCUCUGGUACCCAAGCACUGCCACCUGGGAACUCCAGCUCAUGGGAUAUAGCACUCCCCUCCGGCUUCCUAAGGGACUUGUACGCUCGUCUCACACACACACAUGCACACGCAUGCACGCACAGUAGAAGCAGAAGAAAUGAUACGUGCUGAUGUCUGUGACAGAACAGAAACACUCUGACAAAGAUGCCCAUCACAGAAUGGGUCAAAAGUAAGACUCCGGGCGCUUGUUUAGAAAUCACUGAGGGCAGAGCUGGCACUGGAACUGUAUUCCUGUCUGCACAGAAAGGUUAACUGCAAAGGGGUGGCUCCCUCAGUCAACAGCUGGGGUCAAUCUUCCAUAUUUUAAUGGAUACUUCUUUGGUUGUGGGCAGGAGAGGGGAAGUGUAUGCCAACAAACUCCAUUACAACACGAAUAACAUCUCAAGCCUGAUAGCAGGCACCCAAAGGGCUUCGUGCUGAGCAGUGCUAUUCAGAGACUGUAUUCUGCCAUACGGGAGCCAAACCUCUCAGCCAUGGUCCCAAACAUAAGCCCUGAAAUGUCAACACAACAGUAAUGUAAACUAUGAAGGAAAGGAACCUGUCCUUCUUGACGCCUUACUUCAUAUUAAUUGUCCUGGUGAGAAGAGUGGGUGAGAGGAGACCACCUCUGGCUUCAGUCUAGUCUUGGACCUCAACAGCUACGUAUGUAAAGUUGGCCACAGUCUGACAGUGGCUAGAAGGUGUGACAAAACCCUAAUGUCCUCUGAAGUGACUCAGGGUUGGCAGGUGGGAGAGCCUUUACUCCAUAGUAAAAGGGGACAUCUUCUAGUCACGAAGCACGGCCAUUGUCUGCUCCUUGAGUGGCAAAGCCUUAAGCACCAAUCCUCUAAUGACUUCUCUCUCUCGGUAGCUCGGUGGUCUGCUCUCGCAGAAAACGCAGGUUCUGUUCCCAGAACCCACAUGGUGGCUCAAUUGUCUAUAACCCUCUUCUCACCCCCUUGACACCAGGUCAGAGCCUGACACUGGAGGAGAUGGAGAGAAGCAGUCAGGGCUGGGAUUCUUCUCCUUAAAAGCCACCUUUUCCGAGAAACACACUUCAUUUGUUUUUAACUGUUUUCAAUUUGGCCCCCGAACAUAGAGUUGGUGGCAAGUCACCACUGAGCCCUGUCUGGAUGAACAGAUCCCUGCCUGAAACAACAUAGAUUACGAGAGGAUGGCUUCACUCAACUCUGAGAGGCCCGCUGCUUCGCCACCACACAUGACGGACUGCUUCUACGGAGUGCUCCACCCCACAUUCUGACCGACCCACUACACACCGGUGAGACAGCUCAGCAGGUAAGGGUGCUUUGCCAACAAGCCUGCUGACCUGAGUGUGACCCUCGUGACCCACAUGGUGGAAAAUGAGGACCAGCUUCUGCAAAUUAUCCCCUGACUUCUACACGCAAUGCCAUGAUUCUCAUGCAUCCACUCAGGCCACAAUAAAUAAAUAAAUGUAAAAAUGUUUAAAAUUUAAAA